rnacentral:rRNA from 1 species
AGUGGCGGACUGGUGAGUAACAUGUAGGUGACCUGCCCCAAAGAGGAGAAUAACUUGACGAAAGUGAAGCUAAUACUCCAUGUGGUCAAUCAUUCGGUUGAUUGAUUAAAGCUAAGGCGCUUUGGGAGGGGCUUGCGGCCCAUCAGCUAGUUGGUAGGGUAAAGGCCUACCAAGGCGAAGACGGGUAGCUGGUCUGAGAGGACGAUCAGCCACAAUGGCACUGAAACACGGGCCAUACUCCUACGGGAGGCAGCAGUGAGGAAUAUUGCACAAUCGACGCAAGUCGGAUGCAGCAACGCCGCGUGGACGAUGAAGGCCUUCGGGUUGUAAAGUCCUUUUAAGAGGGACGAGGAAGGACGGUACCUCUUGAAUAAGUCUCGGCUAACUACGUGCCAGCAGCCGCGGUAACACGUAGGAGGCGAGCGUUAUCCGGAUUUAUUGGGCGUAAAGCGCAUGCAGGUGGCUAGGUAAGUCGGGUGUGAAAGCCCCGGACUUAAUCCGGGGAGGUCAUUCGAUACUGCUUGGCUUGAGAGCGGGAGAGGGAAGUGGAAUUCUCGGUGUAGUGGUGAUAUGCGUAGAUAUCGAGAGGAACACCAGUGGCGAAGGCGGCUUCCUGGCCCGUAUCUGACACUAAGAUGCGAAAGCGUGGGUAGCAAACGGACUUAGAUACUCCGGUAGUCCACGCUGUAAACGAUGGGUACUAGGUGUAGGGGGUGUAAAACUCUCUGUGCCAUAGUUAACGCACUAAGUACCCCGCCUGGGGACUACGGUCGCAAGGCUAAAAACUCAAAGGAAUCGACGGGGGCCAGCACAACCAGCGGAGCGUGUGGUUCAAUUCGAAGAU